rnacentral:rRNA from 1 species
ACGCCGCGUGAGUGAUGAAGGUUUUCGGAUCGUAAAGCUCUGUUGUUAGGGAAGAACAAGUGCGAGAGUAACUGCUCGCACCUUGACGGUACCUAACCAGAAAGCCACGGCUAACUACGUGCCAGCAGCCGCGGUAAUACGUAGGUGGCAAGCGUUGUCCGGAAUUAUUGGGCGUAAAGGGCUCGCAGGCGGUUUCUUAAGUCUGAUGUGAAAGCCCCCGGCUCAACCGGGGAGGGUCAUUGGAAACUGGGAAACUUGAGUGCAGAAGAGGAGAGUGGAAUUCCACGUGUAGCGGUGAAAUGCGUAGAGAUGUGGAGGAACACCAGUGGCGAAGGCGACUCUCUGGUCUGUAACUGACGCUGAGGAGCGAAAGCGUGGGGAGCGAACAGGAUUAGAUACCCUGGUAGUCCACGCCGUAAACGAUGAGUGCUAAGUGUUAGGGGGUUUCCGCCCCUUAGUGCUGCAGCUAACGCAUUAAGCAC